rnacentral:lncRNA from 1 species
CAAGGACUCUUUGAUACCUCCCAGUAUCAUCCCUUAACUCGAGGUGAUAUAAUGCCUGAGUUUUAACUGGGCCCCAGAAUACAGCUUCUGUUUCCCAGUCCCCUUGGCAGGUAGGUGUGGCCAUGUGACUUCGUGCUGGCGAGUGGAUAGGGAGGCAAAGGGUGUGAGCAACUUCAGGCAUUUCCUGAAGGGAAGGCAUGUGCCCCUCCUUCUCACUCCCUCCUGCAGCCUGCAGUGUGCAUGAGGUCGCCAGCCGCUUUGCGUGCUUUGGAGGAGGGAGCAGAGCCGUGAUGUGGAAGGUGUCUGGGUGCCUGGUUGACCUUGAGAAGCCGAGCCAUGAAACCAGCCCUGGUGAUGAUUGAGAGAGAAGAAGCUCUUCCUCUGUUUCAGCCACUCAUCUGGUGGACCAUGCGGACGUGCAGACCACUUUACCCCCCAGGGAAUGUGAUGAAAGCGCCGAAGAGAAUCUCAGACCCCUGGCUUGUAGAGAACCUUUCAAGGUCAUCCUCUCCAAUCACCCUGCUUGCUGAGGUUUGGACUUCAAAGGCUCUUGAUAAAGGAAGCAGCUGCUCCAUAACUCAACAUCGCUUUGAACAUGAAGCUGUCGACAGCUACACUCCGUGACUCGCACAGAGAGUUGCAAUCAAGUUUCAGGAGCCCAAGGGUUUGUGGGAAGCACUCAUGGUGCAGGCACGGGAUCCACGUUGGUGGCAAGUAAAGCAGACAUCAAUCCUGAGCCAAAAGCCUCUGAAGCAGGUGCCAGUGUCCCGAUCUGGGUGAUGGGGCAGCCACGUGCCCGGAAAUACCCAUGGGAUACAGAGAGGGAGAGAUCAGUGUGUAUUGAACCCCUGCUCUACGUCGACUCUGUGCCAAAGAUUUUGCAAUUUGUCUGUGUGGGUCCUCGGGGAGGGGAAAUGCUCACCCUCAUUUGAACCGUGAGCACCCAGGAGCUCUGUGAAUUUCAAUGACUUGCCCAAGGUCACACAGCGAGGGAGGAGAAGGGAAGGGGUCAAGUUCAGUCUUGUCCUCCCCGCAGAGCUUGCUGCUUCUCCUUCCAUGCCUUCCUCAUCCUAAUCUCACCCAACACCUGACAAUCGGGUCUCUGACAUACGAGGGCAACAGACACCCACAGAAACUCCACAUUUACAUUUUUUUUAAAAAAGGAUAGUUUUCUCAUCUCAAUCUGUUAUACCUUAAAAUAUGAAACUGAUAUAAGAAGAACUGAAAUUGCAGCAAAAAAGACACAUGAAAUGGAACACAAUUUGAAGAAAAGGGAGAUGACCCCCUGCCACGUUUUUCCAGGUCGCGGAGCUCUUGUUUUUGUACAGUUGAUGCUGCCCUGUAUGUGCCAUAUUGUGCCCUAUUUUUUCCUCUCAAAAUUGUGUCAUAAACAUUUCCUUUGCUGCUUCAAAUUCCCUGUAAACAUUUGGCAGUACAGUCUUCAUCAAUCUGAAUGAGUUUAUUUAACCAAUCUUCUGUACCGAAUAUUUAACUCGUUUCCAUUUUUUUUUCAAUACAGUAUUUUAAACAUUCCCUGACAGAUGAAGGUGCAUGUAGCUGCUGCCCCUGGGUUUAUCACGACACACAGCACCUCAUGCCACACAUCCAUCAGACAGAGAAGAGAAGGGCAAGAGAGACAGCCGAGCACCUGCCACGUGCUAUCCUGGCAUUGUCUUACUUAGUCCUCUCAGUGAUCUUGGCAGGUAGACACUUCUCUCCCCAUUUUACAGAAGGGGAAACUGAGGCUCAGGAGGUUAAUGGGCCAGUGUUCUGAGAUCAGCCUGACUCUUGGGUCUGUGCUCAGCUCUGCCCCCUGCUUCUCUCUCCAGAAUGCGGCCAGAUCACCACAGUUCUGUCCAAUGGGAUGGUUGAUGCCUUCUCUCAAAUGGCCACAUAAAAAUCUCUGAUGCUCUGCAGAGGGCAUCGGAUUGAAACUCUCAGCUGCUGCGAGCAGUGGUUCCAGCCCCUUGUCUGCAGAGACUCAAAUUCCCAAGGGAAAAAUACUCCCAUGGGUAUCUGCUUCUAUUCUAACAAUCCUCCUAUUCACAACCUCCCAGAGAUUGUUGCCAUCCUGGAGUUAAUUAACUUUGAACUUACACUAAUUCAUAUAUUUUUUUAGCAAAGCAAAUAAUUUGCAAAUUUUUAUACCCUGCUCUUUGCUAAUGGCCAACAGCUUGGGGAACACUUCUGGGUGUGUUGUAGUACCCAGAUUGAGAACAGCGGGUCCAGAACACAGAUGAGAAGCAGGAAGGAAAUUACAAAAGAUCUUGGAGCUGCCAAAAUUAGCUUUUGAAAAUCCCUACAAUAAAGUUCCUGUGUUUGGAUCA